rnacentral:rRNA from 1 species
GAUGAACGCUGGCGGCGUGCCUAAUACAUGCAAGUCGAGCGAACAGAUGAGGAGCUUGCUCCUCUGACGUUAGCGGCGGACGGGUGAGUAACACGUGGAUAACCUACCUAUAAGACUGGGAUAACUUCGGGAAACCGGAGCUAAUACCGGAUAAUAUAUUGAACCGCAUGGUUCAAUAGUGAAAGACGGUUUUGCUGUCGCUUAUAGAUGGAUCCGCGCCGCAUUAGCUAGUUGGUAAGGUAACGGCUUACCAAGGCAACGAUGCGUAGCCGACCUGAGAGGGUGAUCGGCCACACUGGAACUGAGACACGGUCCAGACUCCUACGGGAGGCAGCAAUAGGGAAUCUUCCGCAAUGGGCGAAAGCCCGACGGAGCAACGCCGCGUGAGUGAUGAAGGUCUUCGGAUCGUAAAACUCUGUUAUUAGGGAAGAACAAAUGUGUAAGUAACUAUGCACGUCUUGACGGUACCUAAUCAGAAAGCCACGGCUAACUACGUG